rnacentral:lncRNA from 1 species
CACUUUCCUUUCCCUCUAUUUCUCCUGAUUGUCUCUCUCAAAAGCCAUGGCCACGCUGGCAAAGAUAACUGGUCAAUUCACUGCCUCAGUUGGCCCAGCCACAGAAUGGGGAGAACAUGCCCACCCUGCGAGCCUGUGGCGAAGCUUCUUUUCCCUUGAACUGAUUCGUGGGAGACGACUUGAGCGAAACCCAAAAAACCCAUGUUCAGACCUGAUGCUAAGGGGCUGAAUGACGCUGGACAGAACAUAAUACCUUGGGUCCUCAAUUUUGUGAUGAUGGUUAAAUGAGUGAUUCUCAAACCAGUUCUGACAUCUUGAAAAGGUGCUUCUGACUUCACAGUUACCAUGUAAUUAGAGCUUUGAAAUGACAGUGCAGUGAACUCUCCUUGAUAUUCCCCUAAGCCUCUACAUUGAAUGGUGAUGAGGAUCCUAUUUGGAAGCUUUCAAUGGUGUCUUCUCCAGGGGAAAAGGUGAAGAAUAUUUUGUAAGCGACACUGUCUUUUCAAUUUUUACCUCCUGAUUUUGAGCACGGCGAUUCUACUAAGCUGUGUUUUCUUUUCCCUGUGAAAAUGGUUUUGUGAGAAAAUGUAACCAGUGCAAUUAUACUGAACUUUCAUAAGAUGAAACGUUAAUAAAAUGAAUGUUUGACCAAUAAAAUACUUGAUGCU